AAAGUGAAUAGUGAAAUCUGGGGGCUCAACCUCCAGGCUAUUAUUCAAACUCACAGACUCGAGAAUGAUAGAGGUAACUGGAAUUUCUUGUGUAGGAGUGAAAUCCGUAGAUAUAAGAAGGAACACCAAUGGCGUAGGCAGGUUACUGGAUCAUUUCUGACACUGAGGCACGAAAGCGUGGGAGCGAACCGGAUUAGAUACCCGGGUAGUCCACGCCGUAAACUAUGGAUACUA
rnacentral:rRNA from 1 species